UGCCAGACUCCUACGGGAGGCAGCAGUGGGGGAUAUUGCACAAUGGGGGGAACCCUGAUGCAGCGACGCCGCGUGGGUGAAGGAGCGUUUCGGCGCGUAAAGCCCUAUCGGCAGGGAAGAAGGAGGACGGUACCUGACUAAGAAGCCCCGGCUAACUACGUGCCAGCAGCCGCGGGAAUACGUAGGGGGCAAGCGUUAUCCGGAUUCACUGGGUGUAAAGGGAGCGUAGACGGCGACGCAAGUCUGGAGUGAAAGCCCGGGGCCCAACCCCGGGACUGCUCUGGAAACUGCGGCGCUGGAGUACGGGAGGGGCAGGCGGAAUUCCUGGUGUAGCGGUGAAAUGCGUAGAUAUCAGGAGGAACACCGGUGGCGAAGGCGGCCUACUGGACUGCAACUGACGUUGAGGCCCGAAAGCGUGGGGAGCAAACAGGAUUAGAUACCCCCGUAGA
rnacentral:rRNA from 1 species